rnacentral:rRNA from 1 species
CCUACGGGUGGCAGCAGUGGGGAAUAUUGCGCAAUGGGGGAAAGCCUGAUGCAGCGACGCCGCGUGAGUGAAGAAGGAAUUCGUUACGUAAAGCUCUGUCAGCAGGGAAGAAAUACUGACCUUACAGUCAGCAGACGGUACCUGAGUAAGAAGACGCGACUAACUACGUGCCAGCAGCCGCGGUAAUACGUAGUGGGCAAGCGUUAUCCGGAUUUACUGGGUGUAAAGGGGGCGUAGACGGUACGCCAAGUGUGGAGUGAAAUGACGCAGCUUAACGGCGGAACUGCUUUGGAAACUGGCGAACUAGAGUGUGUGAGGGGUAAGCGGAAUUCCAAGUGUAGGAGUGAAAUGCGUAGAUAUCAGGAGGAACACCAGUGGCGAAGGCGACUUACUGGACCAUAACUGACGUUGAGGCUCGAAAGCGUGGGGAGCAAACAGGAUUAGAUACCCUAGUAGUC